GAUGACGACGAUGAUGACGAUGAUGAUGUACUUGUUGACAUAUCGGAGGUACUUUCUGGAGAUGCUUAACAUAUCGGAGGUCCUUACUACUCCAAUGUAGAGAAAGGUAAAUUCUUGAAGAAGUUUAGUAAUAGGUGAAGAAGGAAAGAGAUUCAAGCCUUUCAUUUCAUUCCAAACUUGAAUCUUUCCAUUAUUUCCUUUGAUUAUCGUGUUCAUAUCUAGUCUAGUUGGUUUAGAUACUCGGCUUCAAGUCCCAACAAUGGGAUACCUUUUUCAUGUUCUGAGAUGCGACUUUCUUAGGCCGAGUUUCUAUUAGAAACAACCUCUCAACCGCACAAAGGUAGGGUAUGUAUACCCCACCCUCCCCAGACCCCACCUUAUGGGACUAUACUGGGUAUGUUGUUGUAUUGUAUUUGAUGUUCUGUUAUCUUCUCUUGGCUUUAGUAAUUCUCUUAUGAAGUAAACUUUGUAAUUGAGGAGUAGAUGAAACUAAUCUGUAACUUAUUUUGUUAGCUCAAUACAAUUUGC
rnacentral:misc_RNA from 1 species